rnacentral:rRNA from 1 species
AGAGUUUGAUCAUGGCUCAGAACGAACGUUAGCGGCGCGCCUAACACAUGCAAGUCGAGCGAGAAAGGGCUUCGGCCCCGGUAAAGCGGCGCACGGGUGAGUAACACGUAGGUAAUCUACCCCUGGGUGGUGGAUAACCUUCCGAAAGGAGGGCUAAUACAGCAUGAGACCACGAGUCCGAAAGGGCAUGAGGUCAAAGCCGGCCUAUUCACGAAAGCUGGCGCCUGGGGAUGAGCCUGCGGCCCAUCAGCUAGUUGGUAGGGUAACGGCCUACCAAGGCGAAGACGGGUAGCUGGUCUGAGAGGAUGAUCAGCCACACUGGAACUGAGACACGGUCCAGACUCCUACGGGAGGCAGCAGUGGGGAAUCUUGCGCAAUGGGCGAAAGCCUGACGCAGCGACGCCGCGUGAGUGAUGAAGGCCUUCGGGUUGUAAAGCUCUGUGGAGGGGGACGAAUAAGUGUUGGCUAAUAUCCAGCAUGAUGACGGUACCCCUUUAGCAAGCACCGGGCUAACUCUGUGCCAGCAGCCGCGGUA